rnacentral:tRNA from 1 species
UCUUAGGAUGGUAAAGAAUCUGCCUGCAAUGCAGGAGACCCAGGUUUGAUCCCUGG